rnacentral:rRNA from 1 species
GCAUCGUAUCCAGCACUACGGGAUCGACCAGUUUAGAAAUUCACAAUUUGCGCAAGCCUGAUGGAGCGACGCCGCGUGGGGGAUGAAUGGCUUCGGCUUCCGUAAACCCCUGUCAUUCGCGAUCAAACCUUGCUUUUAAAAGAUGGUGAGCUGAUAGUAGCGGAAGAGGAAGGGACGGCUAACUCUGUGCCAGCAGCCCCGGUAAUACAGAGGUCCCAAGCGUUUUCGGAUUCACUGGGCGUAAAGGGGGCGUAGGUGGUGAGGUAAGUCGGAGUGAAAGCUCGGAGCUCAACUCCGAAAUGGCAUUGGAAACUACCUUGCUCGAGGGUUGGAUAGGGGGACUGGAAACUUGGUGUAGCAGUGAAAUGCGUAGAUAUCAAGUGGAACACCAGUGGCGAAGGCGAGUCCCUGGACAACUCCUGACACUGAGGCACGAAAGCUAGGGGAGCAAACAGGAUUAGAUACCCUGGUAGUCCUAGCCCGUAAACGGUGCACGUUUGCGGUAAAAGGAAUCGACCCCUUUUGUGGCGUAGCCAACCCGUUAAACGUGCCGCCUGGGAAGUACGGUCCAAGAUUAAAACUCAAAGAAAUUGACGGGGGCCUGCACAAGCGGUGGAGUAUGUGGCUCAAUUCGAUGCAACGCGAAGAACCUUACCUGGCCUUGACAUGCAAGUAGUAGAAGGGUGAAAGCCUGACGAGGUAGCAAUACCAGCUUGCACAGGUGCUGCAUGGCUGUCGUCAGCUCGUGUCGUCAA